AUGGGCUUAGCGAAGCAGGGGCGUUGGGCCUGCAACCGUGGCCCCGUGAUUCGCCGGAAUCAAAUCCCCUCAUCGUACUGCUGCCGACAUGGCACAAUACAAUCCAUGCCGCGUUCGUGUCCAGUUCCUUGGAGUCUCCAGUACGUCUCCAUGGUAUCUCCAUGCCUCCACAGACGGCUUUCCGUCCCAGACCGCUGGUCACAGACGGCUCCUCCAAUGACCACGGGGACGGAAUCCGCCGACCACGUUGUGCUGCUGCUUCAUGGUCGACGAUGGCUAGGAGGCAAGCAUAGGUGGAAACGUGGGGAACAACCCAAUGGAUAUGAAGGCGUCGCGCAUGAAUGGCAAGUUCUUCGUGGAGGCGAUUCCGGAAAGGAGAUGCCAGGAUUGCGGCUGUGGCUAGGAAUAGGCUCGAUCGCCAAGGUGUCCGCCGUGCACGAGGCCUUCGGCGGGGCGGGGUGA
rnacentral:rRNA from 1 species